rnacentral:miRNA from 1 species
CAGGUUUACAGUUGUGAGUACAUG